UAAUACGAAGGGGGCUAGCGUUGUUCGGAAUUACUGGGCGUAAAGGGCGCGUAGGCUGUGCUGUAAGUCAGGCGUGAAAGCCCCGGGCUCAACCUGGGAAUUGCGCUUGAUACUGCGGCGCUGGAAGGUGGGAGAGGAUGGCGGAAUUCCCAGUGUAGAGGUGAAAUUCGUAGAUAUUGGGAAGAACACCGGUGGCGAAGGCGGCCAUCUGGCCCACAAUUGACGCUGAGGCGCGAAAGCGUGGGGAGCAAACAGGAUUAGAUACCCUGGUAGUCCACGCUGUAAACGAUGAGUGCUAGACGUCGGGGAGCUUGCUCUUCGGUGUCGCCGCUAACGCAUUAAGCACUCCGCCUGGGGAGUACGGUCGCAAGAUUA
rnacentral:rRNA from 1 species